rnacentral:rRNA from 1 species
AUGGUUAGAUUCACCAAAAAUAAAGGUCGUCCCAACGAGGUUGCCGUAAAGUGGUCUUAUAAUAAUGAUGAUGAAAUUCCGUACCCUUUAUACGCUGAAUUUUCUGGAGAUAAUUCCCCCUUCUCCCCAAAAAGAGAGUGGAGUGAUAUAAGAGUUGUCAGGAGACUGCGAGGAUUGCGUUGGCAAGAGCGGGUUGCUGCUCGUACUCACUUCAGAGAGCUACGUGAUAGUCGGCGAGCAGCUAGAGGCAAGCCUACUUCUUUAUUCAUGUCAGCAAUGAAUAAAUUCAGGGUUGAGAAGGCUAAGGAGUACAGCGGCCGUUGCGCCGUUCCUGAAUAUCUUAUAUGUCCGUUGUCCGGUGAGCUCAUUACAGAUCCAGUGACAAUUGCUACAGGAAAGACAUUCGAGCGACACUUUCUGAAGGGCUGGUUCGAGAAGAAGGGACACAUUUGUCCUUCGACCAACGAGCCGGUGUCAAGCACAAUCAUCCGAAACGACCGCAUCCGAGGAUACUUAGAGGAGUGGAACGAAGUGUUGAAAGAAGAGUAG